rnacentral:rRNA from 1 species
CAGUCGCCGCGGGAAUGCGUAGGUCCCGAGCGUUGUCCGGAUUUAUUGGGCGUAAAGCGAGCGCAGGCGGUUAGAUAAGUCUGAUGUGAAAGCCCCCGGCUCAACCGGGGAGGGUCAUUGGAAACUGGGAAACUUGAGUGCAGAAGAGGAGAGUGGAAUUCCACGUGUAGCGGUGAAAUGCGUAGAGAUGUGGAGGAACACCAGUGGCGAAGGCGACUCUCUGGUCUGUAACUGACGCUGAGGAGCGAAAGCGUGGGGAGCGAACAGGAUUAGAUACCCCGGUAGUCCCUGUCUCUUAUAC